rnacentral:rRNA from 1 species
CCAGUACCGUGAGGGAAAGGUGAAAAGCACCCCUAGCGGGGAGUGAAAUAGUACCUGAAACCGUUUGCCUACAAGCAGUCGGAGCAGACUUUUGUCUGUGACGGCGUGCCUUUUGUAGAAUGAGCCAGCGAGUUACGGCAUGUGGCAAGGUUAAGCUAAAAAGCGAGCCGCAGCGAAAGCGAGUCUGAAUAGGGCGAGUGAGUCGCAUACCGUAGACGCGAAGCCAGGUGAGCUAUCCAUGAGCAGGCUGAAGCGGGGGUAAGACCCCGUGGAGGGCCGAACCCACUUAGGUUGAAAACUGAGGGGAUGACUUGUGGAUAGGAGUGAAAGGCCUAUCAAACCUGGAGAUAUCUCGUUCUCUCCGAAAUAGCUUUAGGGCUAGCCUCGGAUGUUUACCAAUGGGGGUAGAGCACUGAAUAGUUGCGGGGGCUUCACCGCCUACCAAGAUUAAUCAAACUCCGAAUACCAUUGGUCUAGAAUCCGGGAGUCAGAAUAUGUGGGCUAAGCUGUGUAUUCGAAAGGGAAACAGCCCAGACCGCCCGCUAAGGUCCCAAAAUCAAUGCUAAGUGGCAAAGGAUGUGCGUUUGCUCAGACAACCAGGAUGUUGGCUUAGAAGCAGCCAUUCAUUUAAAGAGUGCGUAAUAGCUCACUGGUCGAGUGGACAUGCGCCGACAAUAUACGGGGCUAAGCAUUGUACCGAAGCGGCGGAUCAGUACUUUGUACUGGUGGUAGGAGAGCUUUCUGUACGGGUUGAAGCAGUUGGAUAACCAACUGUGGACUGUCCAGAAGUGAGAAUGCUGGCAUGAGUAACGAGAGACAUGUAAAAAACAUGUCCGCCGUAAACCCAAGGUUUCCUGGGCAAGGCUAAUCCUCCCAGGGUUAGGCGGGAGCUAAGGCA